UACGUAGGGUGCAAGCGUUGUCCGGAAUUAUUGGGCGUAAAGAGCUCGUAGGCGGUUUGUCGCGUCUGCUGUGAAAACUCGGGGCUUAACCCCGGGCCUGCAGUGGGUACGGGCAGACUAGAGUGCGGUAGGGGAGACUGGAAUUCCUGGUGUAGCGGUGAAAUGCGCAGAUAUCAGGAGGAACACCGGUGGCGAAAGCGGCGUGCUGGACCUUUUCUGACGCUGAGGCACGAAAGCUAGGGGAGCAAACGGG
rnacentral:rRNA from 1 species